ACUCGUUCAUCUUUUUAUUUGGUUUUUUACUUUUAAUUAUUAUUUCUUUUUUAAUCAUUCUUGAGAAAUCGCUCUGUUUUGAUUAUGCGAUUUAUUUGCUAUUGUCUUUUAGCACCUACAAAUUUCUCAAGAAUAUUAUCCUGUAUGAUGUUUUACAUAUGAAUAUAUGAAAUUGAUUGAUUUAAAAUUGAUACUAUGAUGAGAAAGGGAAGAGGUUUAACACUUCAUUCUAUAACCGUUUUCUUUUGUUUUCAGUGCUGACCAAUUCCUUGCAUACACAAAAACUUUCCAAGGAUGAUGAUGGACUGGCUGACCAUCAAUGCAUUUUGCACUUAAAAUAGCGUACGUUUUAUCGAUUUACCGAUGUUUUCCAUUGGGUUGUGUUAAAUUAGAGGUGACCGUAACCAUGUUAUUUUCCCAGUACUAAGUUAGUAGGAAAGCUAUAGAGAAACCCAAAGUCCCCCACUUAGGCCAACAGUGGCGCAGCUACAUCGAUAAAGCAAAGAUGAAAAUAGCGAUACAAAAGGUCAACACCAAAAACUCAUCAAGCGAGCCAAAGUAUGUAACCUCAGUUUACAGAAAAUGGGACAGGUAAUAACAAAUGCCAACACCUGUGGAAUGAAAGUAUUUCAAGCACAAAAUCGGUUUGUUUGAUCUAAAGUGAGCAUGAAUGAGAGAGAAAGAAAUAAAAUAAUAAUAGAAUCAUUGUUUGAAUAGGAUUAGUCAGAAAUGGUUCAAUUUUCACAAUCCUAGGAUGAACCAAAGGUAGUUUACGUAAUCUUGGUAAUCAACCGCUGGUCCCAAAAAAACAGGAAAUAAAAAAAAACACAUCGGAGGCUUUCAAAAAAUCUAUAUAAGGACGUAAAA